UUGGAGGGCAAGUCUGGUGCCAGCAGCCGCGGUAAUUCCAGCUCCAAUAGCGUAUAUUAAAGUUGUUGCAGUUAAAAAGCUCGUAGUUGAAUUUUGGAUUCUUCCAAUUGGUCCAUCUUUUAGAUGAGUACUGGUUGUGUGGGGUCUAUCCGCCUGGUAAUACGUAAUGUCCUUUAUUGGAUGUUGCGGGUAGUCAGGACCUUUACCUUGAAAAAAUUAGAGUGUUUAAAGCAGGCUUAUGCCGGAAUACAUUAGCAUGGAAUAAUAGAAUAGGGCGAAGUUGUUUUAUUUUGUUGGUUUCUAGGACAACCGUAAUGAUUAAUAGUGAUAGUUGGGGGCAUUAGUAUUCAAUUGUCAGAGGUGAAAUUCUUGGAUUUAUUGAAGACUAACUACUGCGAAAGCAUUUGCCAAGGAUGUUUUCAUUAAUCAAGAACGAAAGUUAGGGGAUCGAAGACGAUCAGAUACCGUCGUAGUCUUAACCAUAAACUAUGCCGACUAGGGAUCGGGCGAUGUUGUUUCCAUGACUCGCUCGGCACCUUAUGGGAAACCAAAGUGUUUGGGUUC
rnacentral:rRNA from 1 species